ACCUAAUGACGAGGGCAUUUACAUAGAAGGUCCCUAAAACGCUCUCAGGUCUCAUAGAACAAUUCCCCAUCUGAUUGUGAGAAAUUGGUGAUGGCUCUUUAUAGCU